rnacentral:lncRNA from 1 species
UAUCGCCAUGCGCAUGCUGGUAUGCCAGAAAUCACUGACCAUACUAUAACUAACACACUAACUGCGCUCUUUGUUGUUAACUUAGUUAAAUUGCAUUUAACUGCAUUUAACAACUGUUUCGCUUGUGGAUAAUGGGUGCCUGGGUCAUCCAGGGGCUUCCACUUCCAAAGCCAGCCCCCAGACAAACAUACCACUCUCAUGGCUUGCAGUUCCCUGCAACCCAGCCAUGAGCCCCCACACCAGGCCCAAGCACCUGUCACACUGACUGGGUCAGUGGGAAAAAAAGUAAAUAAAUAAAUAAAUAUAGUAAAAAAAAAUAAUAACAAAUAAAAAAAAAAAAAACGAACUUUCCGAUAAUAAGCACCCAAGCCUAGAAGGAUUUCCGAACAAUGCAUGCCUGUUGUUUGCGCAUGCUCAAACACUAACAGCUGCUGACCUACUAUCGCCAUGCGCAUGCUGGUAUGCCAGAAAUCACUGACCAUACCAUAACUAAC